rnacentral:tRNA from 1 species
UGGGGAAAUUUGGUUAAUACUAGGGCUUCUAACUCUUUGUAUGGGCAGUUCGAUUCUGUCCGUCCCUUA